rfam:Callipepla squamata strain Texas jcf7180005229159, whole genome shotgun sequence.
CAGCACUCAGACAGUUAGUUUCGUGAGAAUUUCAAUUAGGCCAUGUAGAGCGAUCGCUCAGUCAUUGGAACACUCCUGUUUUUGUUAUCCGGAAAUCGUAUGGAUCAUUUCGGUUACUACAUGACCUUCGUGUGGUUAACGCCCAGUUCGUUCCUUUUGGGCUGGUCCAGCAGGGCGGCCUCUUGCUUUCGGCCAUACCAGAGGGGUGGCCAUUAAUGGUCAUCGACCUCAAGGAUUGUUUCUUUUCUAUCCCUCUGGCAGUGCAGGAUCGGGAGGCCUUCACGUUUAC